UUUCACUUGGUUUAAUACCUUCCAGGUCCAUCCAUGUUGUCGCAAAUGUGAUAUCUGGCAGCCAUGUCAGAAAAAUACCAAAAAUAGAGGAAGAACAAGAAGAUUUACUUGAUUAAAAAAGUAGCUGAAAGACAAGUUCAGAGAGGGAUUCAGGAACAUGAGAGAAUUUGAAAAAUCUGAUCCAGAAAAAAUAGGCAAGAUAGUGCAAGCCAGGGAGGGGCAGAGAGAGAGGAACAG